CCGCAGUCAAAAGUUUUUCCCGCACCCGGUCUUCUCAGAAUGAUAUUCAUCCGUCGCGAGUGGCAAUCGUCCGAAAACAGUUAAAAACGUCGCAUCCCGAACAGCUUAAGUGCUUCUGAAGAACGGAUACUAUAUAUUUAUUUACAUCAUCAGGCCACUGGCUGACAAAGAACCGUUGAAGACAAGGCGGUUCACCCAAAGGGGCCUUUACUAAUCGGAUAGGAGCAAUGGACAUUCAUAUGACGACACUGUGGAAGCCGAGAAACAGAUCCAAAAUGCCGACUAAAUCGUUUAACCAGAUGGUUUAUCGACGAAGGAGCAGACUAUAUGUGGCCAAUUAUCAAUUAUCAAGGUGCAAAUUGGAAACGUUCCAACCAUGGCGCACCGCAACCAAGUACGAAGAUGUAAGUCAGAAGACAACUGUAGACGGGACGUGGUAGUCGUUUUGAGACGAUGCGAUGAGGAUAGAUCAGAGAAUAAUUUCUCACGAAAUGAUGAAGGAGGGGCAACAGGCAAUGAAACGCCGGCGAACAUCGUUCCUCGAGCAGGCGUUAAACGAAAGAGUGACGAAUUGGCAGGUUUUACACCGAGGAGAUCGAAGCGAAUUAAGAAAUCUAAGAAAGAGGAUAUAUAUGUUUAUAAUUAAUCAGGUCUAUUGGCUUUGAUUUGUCUGAGUUUAUUGAUUUUCCUUAAAUUGAAUAUAAAGUUCAUUCGAAUUGAAUUUAAACUUCUGAAUUUUGAACUCUACUUAGUAUUAGUCGUCAGUGAAUGCUGGAAAUCGAAAAAACCCAAAGGGGUAAGGAGUUGUAGUAUAUAUCCAACUUGGACUUUAUUUUGUUUAGAGUGCACGUCAAAUGACAGCUGCCUACAGUCCAAUACACUUAAGCAUAAUUCAUAUUGCAUUCACACACACACAUGAUAUUGUAAUAUUGUAUUCGUUUAAAAGGUCUGAACAAUAUACUACUCGUUCUCAGUUUGGUAUAACUUAUCUCAAGAGUACUAUCUUUUAAACCCAUC